CCUACGGGUGGCAGCAGUCGAGAAUCAUUCACAAUGGGGGAAACCCUGAUGGUGCGACGCCGCGUGGGGGAAUGAAGGUCUUCGGAUUGUAAACCCCUGUCAUGUGGGAGCAAAUUAAAAAGAUAGUACCACAAGAGGAAGAGACGGCUAACUCUGUGCCAGCAGCCGCGGUAAUACAGAGGUCUCAAGCGUUGUUCGGAAUCACUGGGCGUAAAGCGUGCGUAGGCUGUUUCGUAAGUCGUGUGUGAAAGGCGCGGGCUCAACCCGCGGACGGCACAUGAUACUGCGAGACUAGAGUAAGGGAGGGGGAACCGGAAGUCUCGGGGUAGCAGUGAAAUGCGUAGAUAUCGAGAGGAACACUCGUGGCGAAGGCGGGUUCCUGGACAUUAACUGACGCUGAGGCACGAAGGCCAGGUGAGCGAAAGGGAUUAGAUACCCGGGUAGUC
rnacentral:rRNA from 1 species